GGUUCUGACACUGAGGGCUCCGGGGCAGGGGCAGGGCCCGCUGGCUUGGCGUGCGCGUGCGUGCACAGGUGUGUGGGUGUCUGCCUGGUGGGCGGGCGGCGUGUGCGUGUGCGCAUGUGUGUUUGUGAACUGGCGAUGUGAUCGAGGGCACGGGUGCUGGGCUUCCCCCUCAUGGGUAAAACCAGAGCUACUGUAUGCCAGCCGUGGAGGCAUGGACGGCCCCUGAGCUCGGACAGCAGACGGACAGACCGUUGACGCGUUGGCACCGUGGCCAGAGUCCGUUCAAGAAAGGUCGGCAGAGAGGGCUGAGAACGCGGCAGGCACAUCCUCCAAGGGCCCUGCUGGAACCCCUGGAGCAGGAGGAAGCGGUGAUUCUCCAGGCCUUGGCCACAGGGACAGGCCAGGCCUCACAGCCAAGAGCCCCGGGAAGAGCUGCAUGCACACGGCUGGAGAGAGGCUCUGCACCCGAGCACAGCCUGCUGCGACUCCUCAUAGACCCGGAAAACUGAUUAGAAGGCAGAGGGCCUCCUCCCUCCCUGCGUGGUUUGGGGGCUGUUCCUGAUAGCACAGAUGCCCUGAUCACAAACACCUGCCUGCAUUGCUGACCACAGGCCUGGCCUGGAGAAACCCACAGCCUCUUCAGGGAAGCGAGCAAGGGGCUUGGAAGUGCCUGAAGCCAGUGGGCUGGGGACUCACGGCCGGGACACUCAGGGCAGGCCGUGCGCCGUUUCUCCUGGAAUAACUGGAGGUGAUUUCAUGGAACCUGGAGGCUGGGCUUCAGGCUGGGGGGAGAGGCUCCAGACUGGGUCUUCUCCGUGGCUCUGCCCCCCGCUCUCCUUGCUUGAGUGGUGGGGGCCCUGCAUCCUCUCAUGCCCACCCCCACCUUUCUCGCCAAAUUGUCGGAGGCUUUUGUCACCUGGAGACACUGUUCCUGCCAGCUCCGGUCUUGGAAAACAUGGCCUCUCCUCUCCUGCCCUGGCCCCGGCCCCUCCUGCCAGCUGGACGUGGGCAUUUCUGCACCCAGUAGAACCCCACAGCCAGGAAAGAUGCCUGGAAGGCUAGAGAAGAGGCGUGAUGGGGGGACCCCAUGUGUGGCGACAGAGCAGCACACCCAGCUAUUCUCAGCCACCAUGUGGGAGAGAAAUGACGCCUCUGUCGAGCUCCCCAUGGCCGGAGCUGCUCCAUACAGCAUCCUAACCUUCACCCCCAACUACUCAGUUGCCAUGGCAAAGGGAAUAUUUUGACUCCCUUUUUUUAAAAUUUCCAGGUGAUUAUUGCUAGAGGAGUGGGAAGUUACUAAUUUUUGUAUAUUUAUCUUGUAUUAAAAUGUUUUUACUGAUUUUUAAUUUUAAUUUUAAUAUUUUUUGAGAUGGAGUUUCACUCUUCUGGCCUAGGCUGGAGUGCAGUGGUGUGAUUUCGGCUCGCUGCAACCUCCACCCAUGGGUUCAAGCGAUUCUCGUGCCUCAGACCCCCGAGUAGCUGGGAUUACAGGCAUGCACCACCACGCCCGGCUAAUUUUGUGUUUUUAGUAGAGACAGGAUUUCACUAUGUUGGUCAGGCUGGUCUCGAACUCCUGAUCUCAGGUGAUCUGCCCACCUUGGCCUCCCAAAGUGCUGGGAUUACAGGCGUGAGCCACCGCACCUGGCCUGAUUUUUAAUUUUUAAAUGAGGGAGCAGAGGCAUAACUAGGUUUACAAUCAUGUCAUCAACAAAAUAAAUUGUCUUAUUUUUCUGAUAUUUGUGCCAUUUAUUUGGUUUUUCUAUUAAGUUUGCCAGAACCUCCGAGAAAAUGCUGGACAAUUAUGACAGCAGCAGGCCCCACGAGUCGACCCUGGAUUUGUGACAUUUGUGUUUUCCACGUAGAACGAUCUUGGCCACUAUUGUGGACAGAGACUUUUGCACUUUUUUCUAUUUUACUAGAAAUAGUGCUUUUAUUCAUAAAGAUUGCUGAAUUUGGUCAGUUUUCUUUUCAGUACCUGUCGGUGAGGUUCUCUGAAUUUUCUGUGCUAAUUGGCUAAUGAAAUGACGUCUCUGAUGACUGCGCUGCCCUCGUAAGCCUGGCCUUCAUCUGCUUGGCCAUAACACGAUGCUGCCGACGCUGUGUUGGGUCCUAUUUGCUGUUCUCUUGUGUAGAAUCCGCCGACGCUGCGUUGGUUCCUAUUUGCUGUUCUCUUGUGUAGAAUCCGCUGAUGCUGCAUUGAGUCCUAUUUGCUGUUCUCUUACUUAGAUUUUUUUGCAUCUGCGAAAAGUGAUAUUUGUCUAUGGUUUUCUCUUUUUGUUCCACAUCAGGUUUUUGAAUUAGAUUAUCCUGGUUUCAUGAGAUGAAUUACAGAGUUUUCCAUCCUUUCAUGUCUUGGGAAGGUUAAAGUAACCCUGGGAUGACUUUCCUUCCAUGGAAGGUGAGGUCAUCGUCAGCUGCGGACAUCUGCUCCUGGUGCCUCCUUUCCUGGCUCAGCUCUCGCCCUCUCCAGCACCUCGUGCUCAUCUCUGCGUGGUGCCGCUCAUCCAGAGUCAUUCUGGACUUUACACCCACGACAACAUGGCUGCUGCAGGUUUCGAAGCAGCUGCCCCGGCCGAGCGGGCUGUCUCAUCAUUCCUCCAGCCUCUUCCAUACUGGGGUCUCUUUCUUCCUAAUCAUGUGUGGGUUUUUUUAUUUCAAUGUACAAAAAUUCUAAAUAGAGGUAGUCAUUUAUUUGUUUUAGUUUUUUUUUUUUUUUGAAACAGAGUCUCACUUUAUCACCCAGGCUGGAGUGCAGUGGGACGAUCUCAGUUCACUGCAGCCUCCACCUCCCGGAUUCAAGCAAUUGUUCUGUCUUAGCCUCCCAAGUAGCUGGGACUACGGGCACGCACCACCAUGCCCGGCUAAUUUGUGUAUUUUUGCAAAGACACGGUUUCACUAUAUUGGCCAGGAUGGUCUCAAACUCCAGGCCUCAAGUGAUCUGCACACCUCAGCCUCCCAAAGUGUAAGCAUUACAGGCGUGAGCCACCACGCCCAGCCUAGGCAGUCAUUUCUUGAUGCAGCUUUUGGGCUGGGCAAGGGGAUUUUAUUUUAUUUCUUUCAGAAAACAAUCAUUUCUCCUUUUUACUUAUUUGUUUUCUACUCAUUAAUUUCUGGCUUUAUCUUCAUAAUUCUCCCUACUUUUUAAAAUGCACUUUAUUGUUCUCAUUCUAGUUUCUUAGGGUGGCACAAAGUCCCUCUCGUUUAUUUUUUCCUCUAAAAAAUAAGAGCUGUGCUGGGGGCUCUGGGCGCUGCAUUAGCUGAGUCCUCGAUAUUUAUGGAUUGAUAUUUAUGGCUUCUCGGCUUUUCAGAGAGUGCACGUUCAGAUUUAAUAUCCUGUUUUACCCAAGGGCUACCUGGGAGUGUGUUGGUUUCUAAGUUUCUGGGGGAAGAGGUGGCACUUUCCGUUAUUUAUUUUACAAUUUUUUGGAUAACAGGAUCAUUUUAAUUAUUCUACUUUUUAGUUCCUUGAGGUUUUCUUUGCAGCCAAUACACAACAGACAUGGACUUAUCGGAAGUCGGAACGUUUGGAAGCUCUGUUUCCCGUGAGGAAUCUUCGGAAGCGCUGUUUCCCAUGAGGAACGUGAGCAUGACCAUCCAUAUUGAUCUGUCUGCAUUUUUCUGUUGCCACUAGACCUAAUUAUGGAGAGAGAGACACGGAGGGAGCUCCUGUGACCCUCAAGUCCCCUCAUCAUGUCCCCGUCCUGUUGGCUUUCCGAGUUUAGCUCCCAUGUUUGGACCAUGGAGGUUUAUGUCUUCUAUCUCAGUCAUCGUCCCUGCCACAUGCCCAACCAGACAUGCUGACAUCACAGGCCCUACUUAGCCCUGUUUCCUCUCCCCUUGGCCUCACCUUGAUGUCAGGGGGGUGUCCUCUGGUCUGACUCAGAGGCAGUGACUGGCUUCCUUCUAGUACCUUCUCUGGAUAAUGAGUAUGGAUGACAUACCUUCUAGUGUCUGCUGUCGCGCUUACCGGUGACACUUCUGGGCUGGUUUGUGAUGCCUGGGAUGGAGCCGUCUCCCUAGUGGUCAUGGAUGAUGUUUCACUGUCCCCUGCUUCUGGUGGCACAGAUGAGAACUCCAGGCCUCGUGCUCUCUCUGCUGGCACACACAUCUUCCCUCCAUGCUGGCUGCACACCUGCCCAUGGGGUUUCUGCAGGAGAGGAGACAGCCAGAGGCCCAAGUGGGGUGUGUGGCAGGCAGGCAGCAACCCUGGUCACUGCAGUGGCCUCUGCUCUGAGUCUCGGGAGUAACCCUGGUCACCGCAGUGGCCUCUGCUCUGCUUCUCAGCUAUGCCUGGUGUGACCCCCAGGGUCUUGGUCGGCAUGAGGCCACAGAGCUCACGUGCACUUCCCGCAGCUGCUUCCACGGUAUAGAUGAGAGGUUCCCAUGGAGCUCACAUGACCUCUAGAGACUUGCAGACCCCUAUGCUGUCAGACAGAGGAGGCUGAGGCUCAGAGAGGCACAGUCACCUUCUUGAAGAUGCACAGCCGUGAGUGAAGAAGCUGGGAUUUCUCCUGGUCUCUCUGACCCUGGAACACGUGGCCUCUGGGUGUGCCCAGUAAGAGACGUUAAAGAAGGGCCUCCCCCAUGAGCCCUGACUGAGGCGGGGCGCUAGGCACCCCAUCGAUGUGCUUCGUGGUUCACAGGGGAGAGGCAGAGGGCCUGUCGGGGGGCAGCGAUGGGGCAGCCAGAGGGGGCGGUCCUGGCCUGUGUGAGCCUCCUUGAGGGGAGGGUGCCAGGAACUACCCCAUGAUCUUCUAUUCUCAUGUAAGCCACAAGACCCCAACCCAGAUCCCCACAGCAAAGGCGAAGUCACCAACUCAACAAGGCGCGUGGCCAGGCGUGGGGCUCACGCCUGCAAUCCCAGCACCAUGGGAGGCUGAGCAGGAGGAUGGCUCGAAGCCAGGAGUUCGAAACCAGCCUGUGCAACACAGCGAGACCGCUCUACAAAAAUAAAAAAAAAUCAGCUGGGUGUGGUAGUGCA